rnacentral:rRNA from 1 species
UACGUAGGGUGCGAGCGUUGUCCGGAAUUAUUGGGCGUAAAGAGCUUGUAGGCGGUCUGUCGCGUCUGCUGAUGAAAUCCGGGGCUCAACCCCGGACUUGCAGUGGGUACGGGCAGACUAGAGGUGUGGUAAGGGGAGACUGGGAAUUCCUGGUGAUAGCGGUGAAAUGCGUAGAUAUCGAAAGAGGAACACCUGGCGGCGAAGGCGGGUUGCUGGGCCGACACUGACGCUG